CGCGGCCUAUCAGCUUGUUGGUGGGGUAGUGGCCUACCAAGGCGACGACGGGUAGCCGGCCUGAGAGGGUGACCGGCCACACUGGGACUGAGACACGGUCCAGACUCCUACGGGAGGCAGCAGUGGGGAAUAUUGCGCAAUGGGCGGAAGCCUGACGCAGCGACGCCGCGUGGGGGAUGACGGCCUUCGGGUUGUAAACCUCUUUCAGCAGGGACGAAGCGGAAGUGACGGUACCUGCAGAAGAAGCACCGGCCAACUACGUGCCAGCAGCCGCGGUAAUACGUAGGGUGCAAGCGUUGUCCGGAAUUAUUGGGCGUAAAGAGCUCGUAGGCGGUUUGUUGCGUCGGCUGUGAAAUCCCGAGGCUCAACCUCGGGUCUGCAGUCGAUACGAGCAAACUAGAGUGUUGCAGGGGAGACUGGAAUUCCUGGUGUAGCGGUGAAAUGCGCAGAUAUCAGGAGGAACACCGGUGGCGAAGGCGGGUCUCUGGGCAACAACUGACGCUGAGGAGCGAAAGCGUGGGGAGCGAACAGGAUUAGAUACCCUGGUAGUCCACGCCGUAAACGUUGGGCGCUAGGUGUGGGGCUCAUUCCACGAGUUCCGUGCCGCAGCUAACGCAUUAAGCGCCCCGCCUGGGGAGUACGG
rnacentral:rRNA from 1 species